UACACUCCUACGGGAGGCAGCAGUGGGGAAUUUUGGACAAUGGGCGAAAGCCUGAUCCAGCCAUGCCGCGUGCAGGAUGAAGGCCUUCGGGUUGUAAACUGCUUUUGUACGGAACGAAACGGCCUUUUCUAAUAAAGAGGGCUAAUGACGGUACCGUAAGAAUAAGCACCGGCUAACUACGUGCCAGCAGCCGCGGUAAUACGUAGGGUGCAAGCGUUAAUCGGAAUUACUGGGCGUAAAGCGUGCGCAGGCGGUUAUGUAAGACAGUUGUGAAAUCCCCGGGCUCAACCUGGGAACUGCAUCUGUGACUGCAUAGCUAGAGUACGGUAGAGGGGGAUGGAAUUCCGCGUGUAGCAGUGAAAUGCGUAGAUAUGCGGAGGAACACCGAUGGCGAAGGCAAUCCCCUGGACCUGUACUGACGCUCAUGCACGAAAGCGUGGGGAGCAAACAGGAUUAGAAACCCCGGUAGUCCCAUG
rnacentral:rRNA from 1 species